rnacentral:rRNA from 1 species
UACGGAGGGUGCAAGCGUUAUCCGGAUUCACUGGGUUUAAAGGGUGCGUAGGCGGGUUGGUAAGUCAGUGGUGAAAUCUUCAAGCUUAACUUGGAACUGCCGUUGAUACUAUCAAUCUUGAAUAUUGUGGAGGUAAGCGGAAUAUGUCAUGUAGCGGUGAAAUGCUUAGAUAUGACAUAGAACACCAAUUGCGAAGGCAGCUCGCUACGACGAAUAUUGACUCUGAGGCACGAAAGCGUUGGGGAUCAAACAGGAUUAGAA